AGAUUGAACGCUGGCGGCGUGCCUAACACAUGCAAGUCGAGCGGUAACAGGCGUAGCAAUACGUGCUGACGAGCGGCGAACGGGUGAGCAAUGCUUCGGAAUCUGCCCAAUGAUGGGGAAUAACCAGUCGAAAGAUUGGCUAAUACCGCAUAAGUCCUUCGGGGGAAAGCGGGGGUCGCAAGACCUCGCGUCGAUGGAUGAGCCGAAGUCGGAUUAGCUAGUUGGUAGGGUAACGGCCGUACCAAGGCGACGAUCCGUAGCUGGUCUGAGAGGACGACCAGCCACACCUGGGACUGAGACACUGGCCCAGACUCCUACCGGGAGGCCGAGCGAGUGGGAAUAGUUAGGACAAUGGGGGGCAACCCGUGAUACCGGACGACGACCGCGUCGUCGUGGUAGGAAGGACGGGUCUCGGGU
rnacentral:rRNA from 1 species